rnacentral:rRNA from 1 species
GACGAACGCUGGCGGCGUGCCUAAUACAUGCAAGUCGAACGCUUCUUUCCUCCCGAGUGCUUGCACUCAAUUGGAAAGAGGAGGGGCGGACGGGUGAGUAACACGUGGGUAACCUACCCAUCAGAGGGGGAUAACACUUGGAAACAGGUGCUAAUACCGCAUAACAGUUUAUGCCGCAUGGCAUAAGAGUGAAAGGCGCUUUCGGGUGUCGCUGAGGGAUGGACCCGCGGGGCAUUAGCUAGUUGGUGAGGUAACGGCUCACCAAGGCCACGAUGCAUAGCCGACCUGAGAGGGUGAUCGGCCACACUGGGACUGAGACACGGCCCAGACUCCUACGGGAGGCAGCAGUAGGGAAUCUUCGGCAAUGGACGAAAGUCUGACCGAGCAACGCCGCGUGAGUGAAGAAGGUUUUCGGAUCGUAAAACUCUGUUGUUAGGGAAGAACAAGGACGUUAGUAACUGAACGUCCCCUGACGGUAUCUAACCAGAAAGCCACGGCUAACUACGUG